UUUGUUAAAGUUUGGUUUGCUCUUUUGUCUUAAAGUUUGGUUUGCUCAUUUGUCUUAAAGUUUGGUUUGCCCUUUUGUCUUAAAGUUUGGUUUGCUCGUGUCAAACGAGGUUUCAAAGUGUAUUUUGUAUUUUGUAUUUUGUGGUACUUACGAUGAUUUCUCUUGUGCAAAACCAUAGAGCCUGAUGUCUCAUAAUGAGAAAUGUGAUUUUGGAGAAUUUUUGGUUUAUUUUGAAGAAAAUGUAUUGAAGAAUAAAAAAUUUACAAUCUCAAUAUGGGUAAUGGGUUCAAUGUCACCGAAAUUUCAUCUAUCUUAUUGAUGAAUUGUGUUUUUUAAAUCUAAAUAUUAAAAUCCUAUGGUUGGAGGAAUUUUAUUUUUGAUAGAAUUUACUUGGUGAAAAGGACAUGCAUCAAAGUGAAUAGAGGAUCAGUUGCUGUGAGUAUCGAUGGAGUGUGUUAAUUUUCUUAUACCCAAAUACAGGUGAUUCCUUGUGCUGUGCUGUCUUUGUUCGUUCAUCCCACAACCCAGCAUCAUACUAUUAACCAGAUUUUCUGGGCUUUUUGUGUUUAUCUUGAAGCUGUAUCAGUUCUACCUCAAUUGCGAGUCAUGCAGAACACAAAGAUUGUUGAACCAUUCACAGCACACUAUGUUUUUGCCCUUGGAAUUGCAAGGUUCUUGAGUUGUGCACAUUGGGUCCUCCAGGGUUUUGGAAAUGUAGGUUCUUGGGCUGCACAAUUGAUUGAUGAGAAACCUGCUGUUGGGUUACUUCUCUAUAUGAAGUGAUCCAGUCGUCGUCAUCAAUAUCAGUUUUUGCCUGUUGUGAAUGAGGU